rnacentral:rRNA from 1 species
ACGGAAGGCAGCAGUGGGGAAUAUUGGGCAAUGGGCGACAGCCUGACCCAGCAACGCCGCGUGAAGGAAGAAGGUCUUCGGAUUGUAAACUUCUUUUCUGAGGGACGAAGGACGUGACGGUACCUCAUGAAUAAGCCACGGCUAACUACGUGCCAGCAGCCGCGGUAAUACGUAGGUGGCAAGCGUUAUCCGGAUUUACUGGGUGUAAAGGGCGCGUAGGCGGGAGAGCAAGUCAGAUGUGAAAUCCAUGGGCUUAACCCAUGAACUGCAUUUGAAACUGUUCUUCUUGAGUGCUGGAGAGGUAGACGGAAUUCCUUGUGUAGCGGUGAAGUGCGUAGAUAUAAGGAAGAACACCAGUGGCGAAGGCGGUCUACUGGACAGUAACUGACGCUGAGGCGCGAAAGCGUGGGGAGCAAACAGGAUUAGAUACCCUGGUA